UACGAAGGGGGCUAGCGUUGUUCGGAAUUACUGGGCGUAAAGCGCGCGUAGGCGGUGAUCUUUGUCAGAGGUGAAAGCCUGGGGCUCAACUCCAGAAUUGCCUUUGAAACGGGAUUGCUUGAGUCCGAGAGAGGAUGGCGGAAUUCCUAGUGUAGAGGUGAAAUUCGUAGAUAUUAGGAAGAAACACCGGUGGCGAAGGCG
rnacentral:rRNA from 1 species